GAUGAACGCUGGCGGCGUGCCUAAUACAUGCAAGUCGAGCGAACAGAUGAGGAGCUUGCUCCUCUGACGUUAGCGGCGGACGGGUGAGUAACACGUGGAUAACCUACCUAUAAGACUGGGAUAACUACGGGAGACCGGAGCUAAUACCGGAUAAUAUAUUGAACCGCAUGGUUCAAUAGUGAAAGACGGUUUUGCUGUCACUUAUAGAUGGAUCCGCGCCGCAUUAGCUAGUUGGUAAGGUAACGGCUUACCAAGGCAACGAUGCGUAGCCGACCUGAGAGGGUGAUCGGCCACACUGGAACUGAGACACGGUCCAGACUCCUACGGGAGGCAGCAGUAGGGAAUCUUCCGCAAUGGGCGAAAGCCUGACGGAGCAACGCCGCGUGAGUGAUGAAGGUCUUCGGGUCGUAAAACUCUGUUAUUAGGGAAGAACAAAUGUGUAAGUAACUAUGCACGUCUUGACGGUACCUAAUCAGAAAGCCACGGCUAACUACGUG
rnacentral:rRNA from 1 species